AACGAACGCUGGCGGCAUGCCUAACACAUGCAAGUCGAACGAGACCUUCGGGUCUAGUGGCGAACGGGUGCGUAACGCGUGGGAACCUGCCCUUAGGUUCGGAAUCACUCCCCGAAAGGGGUGCUAAUACCGGAUAAUGCCUUCGGACCAAAGAUUUAUCGCCUUUGGAUGGGCCCGCGUUGGAUUAGCUAGUUGGUAGGGUAAAAGCCUACCAAGGCGACGAUCCAUAGCUGGUCUGAGAGGAUGAUCAGCCACACUGGGACUGAGACACGGCCCAGACUCCUACGGAAGGCAGCAGUGGGGAAUAUGGGACGAUGGGCGAAAGCCUGAGCCAGCAGUGCCGCGUGAGUGAUGAAGGCCUUAGGGUUGUAAGCUCUUUUACCCGGGAUGAUAAUGACAGUACCGGGAGAAUAAGCUCCGGCUAACUCCGUG
rnacentral:rRNA from 1 species